UACGUAGGGUGCGAGCGUUUGUCCGGAAUUACUGGGCGUAAAGAGCUCGUAGGUGGUUUGUCGCGUUGUUCGUGAAAACUCACAGCUCAACUGUGGGCGUGCGGGCGAUACGGGCAGACUAGAGUACUGCAGGGGGAGACUGGAAUUCCUGGUGUAGCGGUGGAAUGCGCAGAUAUCAGGAGGAACACCGGUGGCGAAGGCGGGUCUCUGGGCAGUAACUGACGCUGAGGAGCGAAAGCGUGGGGGAGCGAACAGG
rnacentral:rRNA from 1 species